AUUUAACAUAUUUAAUGUCCGAAGCAGAUAUUUUCUAAAAGAAUUGUAGAGCAGUGUGAGUGACAAGGUGGACAGUUUUGGCUAAAGUUAGCAUUUAAUGACCACAUGUUGGACCUUAAGUUGGUCAGUAGGUCAUCUUAGAAUAGGACUGUGUAAUGUUCAACAAAUAUAUUUAGAAUUUCUGAAAAGUUUUAUAUUAAAUGUUAUUUUGUGGUGACAGGGUGGACAUGCUAAG